rnacentral:rRNA from 1 species
GAUGAACGCUGGCGGCGUGCCUAACACAUGCAAGUCGAGCGGUAUAUACUUUAUCAAAUCUUCGGAAGAGAGACGGUAUAGAGAGCGGCGGACGGGUGAGUAACGCGUAGGCAACCUGCCCCAUACAGAGGGAUAGCCUCGGGAAACCGGGAUUAAAACCUCAUAACGCGAAAGAGUCACAUGGCUUUUUCGCCAAAGAUUUAUCGGUAUGGGAUGGGCCUGCGUCAGAUUAGCUAGUUGGUGGGGUAACGGCCUACCAAGGCGACGAUCAGUAGCCGACCUGAGAGGGUAAUCGGCCACAUUGGAACUGAGACACGGUCCAAACUCCUACGGGAGGCAGCGGUGGGGAAUAUUGCACAAUGGGCGAAAGCCUGGUGCAGCAACGCCGCGUGAGCGAUGAAGGCCUUUGGGUCGUAAAGCUCUGUCCUUGGGGAAGAAUAAAUGACGGUACCCUUGGAGGAAGCCCCGGCUAACUACGUGCCAGCCGCCGCAGUAA